ensembl:lncRNA
ACCAACUCAUGCACAUACAACUAGGUGCAUUUUAGGAAGUGAGCACACCCAUAUAAAUGCAAUCCAGAUUUAAAAACCAGAACUUCGACACUUCCCGGAAAGGCCCAUAUUGUCCCUGAUGGUCACCCCUCUCCUAUGGAAGCCACUGAGUUUCAAGACACUUGGCAGAUACAAGAUGGAUGCAGCUGCUGCCAGCAUAACAGGGGCCUACUGUUUUAUAGUUGAUUUAUUUUUUAAAGAUGCAUUAGAGUUAAUGUUUUUCAUUUUUAUUUUUUACUAGUCCAUGUUUGCAGUACAUAAUGAUGACAUUCCUCAUGGGGUAUUGGUACAUGUACAGAACACAUCUUAAUGCUUUUUUCAUCUCCUUCCCCUCCCUUCCUUCCUUUCUCCCUCCAUCUCUUGAUCCAGUAUACAAAAACCAUAAAGACAUAGUAUAGUAAAAACAUAAACCAGUAGCAUAGUUGUUUAUUAUCACUAUGAAGUAUUACAUAUUGUACAUAAUGUAUGCUAUACUUUUAGACAACUGGAAGCUCAGUGAAUUUAUUUACACUGAUAUUACCACAAAUAUAUAAUUAGUGUAUCAUGCUCUGACAUUAUAGUAGUUACUAUGUCACUAGGUGAUAGGGAUAUUUCAGCUUCAUUAUAACCCUAUGGGACCACUCUUGCAAAUGUUGUCCACAGUUAACCAAAACAUUAUUAUAUGACACAUGACUGUAUAUGCCUUAUCUGUGCUUAUAAUUAUAAUGUUCAGCUACCAUAGAUACUACUACCCUGCCAUACUGAUUUCCAAAGUGGUUGUACAAUUUGUACCCCUACCCCCGGUCCAUGAGAAAGCUGGUUGGUCUACACCCUCAUCAGCAUGUGGCAUGGUCUGCAUUUUUCAUCUUAGCCAUUCUAGUGGUACAUAGUUUAGGGUUGCAUUUCUUGGGUAGCAUACUCUAAGAUAAAUGAUAGCAUGCAAGAAGUUUACUGCAGUCAAAGAGGCAGGGGCUGGGGUGGCAGAAAGCUGGUGUGAUGCAUCCUUUCCGGUUUCAGCUCCUUGGAGUUCAUCGGGAAGAAGCAGAAGUUAUUUACAUACUCUGACUAAUCCUUUGGGAUAUACAUUUUUACAUAUUUCUGAAUCUA